CAGGCUUAACACAUGCAAGUCGAGGGGCAUCAGGAAGAAAGCUUGCUUUCUUUGCUGGCGACCGGCGCACGGGUGAGUAACACGUAUCCAACCUGCCCUUUACUCGGGGAUAGCCUUUCGAAAGAAAGAUUAAUACCCGAUGGCAUAAUGAUUCCGCAUGGUUUCAUUAUUAAAGGAUUCCGGUAAAGGAUGGGGAUGCGUUCCAUUAGGUUGUUGGUGAGGUAACGGCUCACCAAGCCUUCGAUGGAUAGGGGUUCUGAGAGGAAGGUCCCCCACAUUGGAACUGAGACACGGUCCAAACUCCUACGGGAGGCAGCAGUGAGGAAUAUUGGUCAAUGGGCGCUAGCCUGAACCAGCCAAGUAGCGUGAAGGAUGAAGGCUCUAUGGGUCGUAAACUUCUUUUAUAUAAGAAUAAAGUGCAGUAUGUAUACUGUUUUGUAUGUAUUAUAUGAAUAAGGAUCGGCUAACUCCGUGUCAGCAGCCGCGGUAAUACGGAGGAUCCGAGCGUUAUCCGGAUUUAUUGGGUUUAAAGGGAGCGUAGGUGGACUGGUAAGUCAGUUGUGAAAGUUUGCGGCUCAACCGUAAAAUUGCAGUUGAUACUGUCAGUCUUGAGUACAGUAGAGGUGGGCGGAAUUCGUGGUGUAGCGGUGAAAUGCUUAGAUAUCACGAAGAACUCCGAUUGCGAAGGCAGCUCACUGGACUGCAACUGACACUGAUGCUCGAAAGUGUGGGUAUCAAACAGGAUUAGAUACCCUGGUAGUCCACACAGUAAACGAUGAGUACUCGCUGUUUGCGAUAUACAGUAAGCGGCCAAGCGAAAGCAUUAAGUAUUCCACCUGGGGAGUACGCCGGCAACGGUGAAACUCAAAGGAAUUGACGGGGCCCGCACAAGCGGAGGAACAUGUGGUUUAAUUCGAUGAUACGCGAGGAACCUUACCCGGGCUUAAAUUGCAGUGGAAUGAUGUGGAAACAUGUCAGUGAGCAAUCACCGCUGUGAAGGUGCUGCAUGGUUGUCGUCAGCUCGUGCCGUGAGGUGUCGGCUUAAGUGCCAUAACGAGCGCAACCCUUAUCUUUAGUUACUAACAGGUUAUGCUGAGGACUCUAGAGAGACUGCCGUCGUAAGAUGUGAGGAAGGUGGGGAUGACGUCAAAUCAGCACGGCCCUUACGUCCGGGGCUACACACGUGUUACAAUGGGGGGUACAGAAGGCAGCUAGCGGGUGACCGUAUGCUAAUCCCAAAAGCCUCUCUCAGUUCGGAUCGAAGUCUGCAACCCGACUUCGUGAAGCUGGAUUCGCUAGUAAUCGCGCAUCAGCCACGGCGCGGUGAAUACGUUCCCGGGCCUUGUACACACCGCCCGUCAAGCCAUGGGAGCCGGGGGUACCUGAAGUACGUAACCGCAAGGAUCGUCCUAGGGUAAAACUGGUGACUGGGGCUAAGUCG
rnacentral:rRNA from 1 species